UACGUAGGGUGCGAGCGUUAAUCGGAUUUACUGGGCGUAAAGCGUGCGCAGGCGGCCCGUUAAGACAGGUGUGAAAUCCCUGGGCUCAACCUAGGAAUUGCGCUUGUGACUGGCGGGCUCGAGUACGGUAGAGGGGGGUGGAAUUCCUGGUGUAGCAGUGAAAUGCGUAGAGAUCAGGAGGAACACCGAUGGCGAAGGCAGCCCCCUGGGCCUGUACUGACGCUCAUGAACGAAAGCGUGGGGAGCAAACAGG
rnacentral:rRNA from 1 species